rnacentral:sRNA from 1 species
GUUAAAAAGGACACUUCCGAUUGUUAUUUCAUUGAUCGCUCUCCAAAGUACUUUGAAACUGUGCUAAACUACAUGAGAUCCGGUGUUACAGUACUUCCAGACUCUGAAAAAGAACUACAAGAACUGAAAAAAGAAGCCGAAUUCUACUUGUUGGAGCAGUUGGUAGACUUGUGUGAACCUAUAAAUAAUCAAAUCCGAACUUAUCGCUCGUCUCAUGAAUUGCUGCAAAUCAUCGCCAGCACCAAGAAGGUAGGUGUUAUUUAUUUUCCCAUAUGUAUAUAUAUAUAUGUAUAUAUUUCAGUUUCAGUUAUAUAUAUAUAUAUAUAUAUAUAUAUAUAUAUAUAUAUAUAUAUAUAUAUAUAUAUAUAUAUAUAUAUAUAUAAAUAUAUGCUAUUUUAAUAUCAUUUUGAUAUCAUUUUCAGCCAGUAGUUGUGAUUAACUACAUAACCCAUAAUAACGAUAUCAUAUACAUCCCAGAAGGAUUUCGAUUCGAUGAGUUUGUUAAGAAAAACAGUUCAGUGGUAGAAAUCUAUUUUCGUGAGUUUUUUGGAUUUUUUUCGUUUUCGGAAAAUUUUAAAAAAAUCAUUAAAAUUCCGAAAAUUGUAAGUUUUGAGGAUACUACACCGGCCUGUAAAUGUGUCUCUUUGGCGAAAACUAGCAUAACUUUAGAACCUGAUUAGCUACAAAAAUGUCAAAUAUAUUUUCUGAAAGUUAAAUUUACAGAGAUAUUUUUGGUAAUUUUUUUUAAAAAGUGCCAUAUGUUUUCUUAGAGAUAUAACAGUUUGCAUAAAUAAAACUACUGUUUUCAACUGAAAAACGCAAAGUUUACUUCAAUUUUUAGAAAUUCACAGUGACAACCGUAAUUUUUAUUUUUGAUUUUAAUAUAGAAAAUGACACAAUUGACUUAUUUUUUAAAAUUUUAUAAAAAUUAGAUUAAAAAAUUUUUGGAAAAAAAUUGACCUAAAAAUGUUUUUUCAUCGCAAUUUGUUGAAACAUGUCUGAUUAAUUUAUUUAGCGUAUUUGUAACAAAUUACUUAAAAUUAUUUUGCAGAACCAAUGGAUAAUCGAGAACCUCUGCCAAAAGAUUUAAGGAGACAUCGCGGAAUGAAAUAUUACCCUGAACCAGUUUGGAGUUAUCGCAUCUACAACAGUACGCAUUCAGGUUGCGUUGAUUUAACAGCUAUGGAUGAUCUACAGAAGAAAAUCGAUAGUAUUUUGAACGGAGAAUGAAUACCCACAUAUUAUUUAAUAUUUCAAAUGCAUUUAUCAAAUUUUUUACAUUUGUUUUAUAAUGAAAAUUCUCGAAAACUUCUCAAAAAGGUACGGCGGCGUCUAGAAGUGAUCAACAUUUUAUUCAUAAAUUCCCGAUUUUCACAGCCUCCCAUUAAUAUAUUUCUCCAAUUUAUCAAAAUUUGUAAAUGUUUUAAAUCCUUUAAUCGGAGAGUACAGCCGAUAAAUCCAUGAUUGGUGACCUUUAUUGACUCCAUCUUCACGCCGAGAUUUAUCAGAUUCAUCUUCGCAUUCACAUUGUUCUGAAAAUCACUUGUAAAUUAUUCGACCAAUCAGCGCCCGGCCACGCCCACUUUUCGACCAAUCAGGUCAAAAACUCACUGAAAUAGACAUCCAACUUUGGAUUUUCGAGAACAUAUUGAAAAUUGAAGGAUUCUGGAGAGUUCCAGAGGUGAUCAUUGUGAACUGUAUAGCUGAUCACAAGAAUUGCUGUCUGAAAAAAAAAAUAUUUCGAAAAUUUGAAUGAAGCGCCAAAAUUUUCGGCUAUGAUCAUUUUGUGGGAGGAGCUUAUCAAGCCCUGCCCCUUUCUUGGUCAAAAAUUUUGUUGGGAAUCAAAACUGCGAACAAAUUUUGACGUUAUCUUAUAACCCCCGCCCACUCAGUGGGCGGAGCUCACCCCGCCCGCCCAUUUAGUGGGCGGAGCCAAUCCCGUCCCGCCUCUUUAGUGGGCGGAGCUUGUUAAACCACGCCUCUUAUGUGCUCCAAAAUAUUUCAAGGAACUUGAUUUUUGAAUUUCGUGCUAAACAUUUUAAAGUCUAGAAGAGAACAAUUGGGUGUGGCUUAUUAAGCUCCGCCCACAAAUGGGCGUGCCUAAAAAUAAUUUUAAAAAAUUUUUUAAAGAAAAUUCUAUAAUAAGUUAUGAACAUUCAGAAAGUUUCAGAAAGUGCCAGAACAUUUCAUAAAAAUUACAAAAUCAGCUGAAAACUGUCAGAAAGUUUCAAUGAGCCCCAGAACAUUUCUGAAAUUUUUUCUGAAAAUUCUAUAAAAUUUUUUAAACAUUUAGAAAGUUCCGGAAAGUUCUAGAAAGUUCUAGACCAUUUUAGAAAAAUUUAUAAAAGUUAUUGAAAUUGCUGAAAAAUUUCAGAAAAUUACAAAAAAAUUUUCCAAAGUUAAUUUCGUCACAUGAACUACGGAGGCCCAGCUUACAAAAGGGGCGUGGCCUCUAAAGCCCUGCCCACUCAAUGACGUCAUCUAUACCUUUUUGCAGUUUGCAAUAAUAUGAAGAAGCUCCUCCGAAGUUUCAUAUGACCGAAUUUUAAGAAAAGAAUCACAUAGGUCGACUAGACCGUCUAAAAGGUAAAAUUCGGCUUCUCUUCUCACUUCUUGCAGUUCUCGUUCAAACUUUGGAAGUUCCACGUCAUCACCUUCUUUCAGAUAUUUUAGAAUCAGGCUGAAAUUUUUCGGGGACCGAUCCACAAAAAUGCACCCGGAUUCGUCGAUUGAGACCUAGAAUGGAACAUCUCUGAAGUUGCAGGAAGUUCUAGAAAAUUCCAGAAGCUUUGAGAAAGAUUUCGAAAGUUGUAGAAACUUACAAAACGUUCCAGAAUGUUUCAGAACAUUCUAGAAAGUUCCAGAAAGUUCCAGAAAGUUCCAGAAUCUCUCAGAAAAAUUAGGAAAAUUUUAAAAGUUGGAAAAUUAAAUAAAAAAUAAAAUUGAAAGUUACCGGAAUAUCACUUGUGAGCAUAGUUUUGAAGAAACCAUCAAAUUUAGUGAGCUUCAGUUUACACGUCUCGAAUACCGUACCACCGAUAUCUAGUUUAAUGGGCUCAACUAUGGAAUCCAUUUUGGAAAUCGCUGAAAAUGAGCGAAAUUUGAGGAAAAUUGCAGAAAAUUGUAGGAAGCUGUAGAAAGUUGCAGAAAAUCUGAGAAAGUUGGGAAAGUUCCAGAAAAAAAAAAAAUUUUUCAGACAGUUUCAGAACAUUUCGAAAAAAAACUCAGAAGACUUCAAACAUUUUUUUUCGAAAGUCUAGCAAUUUUCUGGGAAUUUUAUAAAUUUGCAGAAAUUAAAAAAAAAAUCAAAACUUUUCGGAAAACUUCUGAAAGAUUCAAAAAACUCUAGAAGUUUUCUGAAAAAUUUUAGACAUUUCUUAGAGAAUUUAGAAUGUUUCAACAAAGUUAAGAAUGUUCUAAAAGAUUUGAGACAUUUCAAAAAAAAAAUCAGGGAGUUUCAGAUAAUUUUGUAACAUUUUUAAAAAGCUUAGAAACCUUCAGAAAGUUCCAUUCCGGUCAACGUUUUGGAAUAUUGCCAAAAUUUUGAAAAAUAUGAGCUGUUGAGGAAAUUUAAAGAAAUGUCGCAUUUUUCGACCCCUACAAUGUUUUGAUACAAAUAAUUUAAACAAAAUUAAAACAUAAAAAAUGUAGAAAAAAAUUGUUUUUUUGGUGGAUUUCCAAAAUUAUGAGUGGCAAAAACCGAGUAAUUGCCACUUUUUGGCAGUAAAUAAAAAAUUUUCAAAAAUUUUUUGAAACGUUUUCUUAUGAUAUUUGGCCAUUUUGGAACCAAAGGGACUUAAGUAGCAAUCACAAAUUAUCUAGUUCAGAAACUGCCAAAAUUUUCAAAAAAAAAAACAGAUAAUUUUAAAAAAUUCCAGAAAAUUUGGGAUAAUUUUUUAGAAAAUUACAGGAAAACUUAUUAUGUCAUAGGAAAAUGGAGAGAGUUCAGGUAAAUUAGAGAACAUUUUCACCAAUACCAGAUUAGCCAAACGUUGCUCUCCCGCCGUACUUACUGUGAGCAGAUGGUCAGGAAAAAUCGAUGAGCUCAGAGGGGGUCUCUUACACACUAACGGUCAGAUGAACCCAAACCCGGACCAUUUUCUUCCAUUGAGACGCAGACAGGUUAAGACAUCCAUCAGACAAAUGAGUACGUUAAACUUUUAUUGAAGUAAAGAAAAUAACAAUUUCCAAAUUAAGGAUCAAUUUUCCAUUUCAUUAUUCGCUGUCAAAAAAUUCAUUGAAUCUCCAGAAUGCUUCAAAAUGUGGCUUGUAAUUCAAAAAUGUAAAGAUUACGGUGCUUGUGCAAAUACCAAUCGUGGUGGGAGCCCUGGGGUCAGCCUCCCCGUGGUGCUGAGAGCAAUGGGUUAGCAGAUGGCCACAAAAUCGAUGUAAAGCGAGACCACUCGACUCAUUUGUUCAUCAAUUUAUUCUCUGUGAAUACACGUUACUCAAUAUGUGCUUUUCUGAAACAAUUGUCAAGUUGAAUGUCGGCGGAUCUGUAUUCGAGACGUGGAAAUCGACACUGACCAAGCAGGAUGGAUUCUUCAAAACAUUAAUUGAGACUAAUGUUCCGG